GGAGAGGUUAACCCAUGAAAGCUGCAAAGCCACACAAAUUUAAGUUAAGCUUACUUUAAGGUACUAAUUGAACCAUCAGCUCAUUGCAUCAUAAGAUACUGCUAAGUUCAUUGCAUGAAAGAUAUUACUCCAGCUAAGUUCAUUGCAUCAUAAUUUGGUAUAUUAGCUUUUCUUAAAAAUCACAAAUACAUUCCAGAGAAGUACAAAUAGACUUUAACAAGGAAAUCGAUAAACACACAGGAGAUGAGAUACCACAGCACUCGUUGUUGGACAAACUUGUUGUACAGAAUGAUUGACAUGCUACUGAUCAGGCAGAAAUAAACAAAAUUCAAAUAGAACCCCUUCCUUUCCAGUGAAGAAUUCUUUACUAUUUCAAUUUGAUCCAUAAAUAAGGGGGCCUGAUUUUUGCCAUUAGUGUAAUCAAUCUAUGGCCAAGUUAUUGCCUAUGGAGGUAAGGUAAUAUUAUCAUUUUCUUUGCUUGGUCAAAAGUAAUAUCCCUCAAAUUAACUGUUUGUUGUUAACAGUGAUGCUAUUAACUAGACCUCUAUUGUUCCUCAUAUGAAAUCUAAAGCCAACAAAUAUCAAAACCUGGGUUUGGUACUGAUUCAUAUUAUUAAGCCUAUAACUUCUAAAAAGCCUCUGUCAGAUAGAUGAAAAAGAAAAAAGAAAAAUAAAACACGACCACGUCCUAUGAAACCAUUGAAACUCUGGCUUAAAAUAAAAGCAAAAAUCCAAACCUCCACAGAGCCUAAUAAUCUCAAUAUUCCAGAAACAUUAAAGCCAUUACUUUUCCCCACAUAAAAAGCAGGCUCACAAAUCCUAGAAUAUUUAUAUCAGCAUAUUAAAGUAAACAACCUAAACACUGGGCAGGAAUUUAAAAAUAACUCAAGAGGCCAAACUAACAGUGACAAGAAGCUGACUAGUAGAACAGGCCACCCACCACCAACUAAACUAAUUGAAAACCAUUUCAAGAUAGAUUCACCAGAAUCUAAAUUCCCCAAAUUCAACAACGAAACCCACUUAAGAUCCCAAAAUCCUCAAUCAUCGACUCACUCAACGAAGCACAACAGAAAAUUGAUAACAAACACAAAGAAAUCAACUUCGAUACGAACAGUAAUUACACAAUAAAUAAAAACGCAGGACAUAGCAACAAAAAAAAGUGAAACGAAAUCAAGAAUGAUCCAAAGUGAGAAAGGAAGAUCAAAAAAAUGC
rnacentral:misc_RNA from 1 species